GGCACGUUUAAGGAGCCUGCGAAAUGAUCGGCGUUUCCAAUGUUUUUCUUGUAGCACGUUUGUAUUCCCGUUAAAGAAUCUCCACGUUACUGGUCGAACAUAACAAUGUACUACGCUGAAAUCAAAUCGCUCUGGAAGUUUUCUCUUGAAACAAGGCCGUGGUGCAUGGCAGGGCCAAGGUAGUUUGGGGCAAGAGGCAAGGAAUGAAUAUCGGGGAAGAUGAUGGGUCAAGGUUGUGCACAGCAACUUACGAAAUAUAAGGUGCUGCACGAUUUCCAAAUCAAGACCUUGGCAGAAUGUGCCCAAUAUUCUCUGGUUGUCAUAAACAAUCCAAAACCUCUUCAACUAAAUCUCUUUCUGGCUUUCUCAACAUCUCAAAUAUUCCACACGUUUAUGAUAAUCUGCUAGGGGAGUACAUGAAAACUUCAAGAAACAUAAAAAAGAUGUUAUCAGACGCUUAUUCCUUUAUUGGGACAUUACUGGUCUGAUUUUGUCAACGUGUUCUUCACUUUUCUUGACUUUGGCGCAAAAAAUGGAUUUAAUCUGAUGAAGUUGCACGACAUGCCGUGUUCUACGUGUUUAAUGGAAGAGUAAUCAUCGAAGUCGCAAAAGUAGUUCCGUGAUUCUACAUUCCUUCUGGCCUACGCACGCAAUUCUUCACAGCAUAACCCUACUUCUCUUGCGUUUUCUUUCCGCCAAUUAUAUUCCUAGACAACUAGUUUUGUCUUUCUGUUUAGUUAAAAAAAACCUACAGGAAAAGCAAAUAAAGGCGAACUUUGUUUAGUUUUAUGCAGACAACACCAGAAUCACGACUGAUCACGUGGCAUGGGCCUGCGUGUCACGUGGACACUGUCUAUGGCCAUGACCUUGGGAAGUGCAGAAAUCCAAAAAGUUUAAACUGAUAAUAACUUCUUUUAAUUCCGCCAGACGUAAAACUGAUACCAUUGGGGAAAACAUUUUGCAGGUCGACAGGUUGUCAGAGUGGCUGAUUGACUCUUAUACUGAAUCUAAUACAAAAAUUUAUAUCUGGUGGAUUCUUGCUCUCCGAAGAUUUGCUUCACCUAUCGUAAUUAACCCAAGGACCCCAACAAGCUCAGUGUGGCUUAUGCAGAAGACAUAACGACGCCGCUCCUUAGAUACCUCCAAGUAGCGGCCCUACUCUUCAAAAGGGUAUACGAUAUCAUGAAGAAUUUUAAAAAGACAAAGAAUGGCUGCAUGCAGUAAUAUAAUCCCAGUGCAAGGCUAGCUUGUCCGGCCCUUGGAAAACAAACAGGAAACGCGAUUCUGAAUAACCUCAAUCGACUCAUUUCCAUCUACAGCCUUCAAUAUUAAAUAUAGAUAAGACUUUAAA